rnacentral:lncRNA from 1 species
AUUUCAAGAUAUUUGUAAAGUCAUAACAUUUUUUUGUUUACUUCUCAUUAAAAAAUUUUACUUUGAUAUAUUUUGGCUCAUAUGCUAUUGAUAACCUACGGGCCAUGUACUAGCCCAUUAGUGAAGCGUACUUGUUAUGUGUUUUUUUCCAUACUGUGCUUUGAUCCAUCUCUAAUCGUGCCAUACUUUUAAGGCCCACGUAAUUAAGAUUCUAAGCCCAACCCAGCCAACGUACGUGCCGUGCCGUGCCGCGUGUCCUACCGAAACUGCUCGUGUCAUGUUAUGCCCAUGUCACGCCACAUGGCCCCGGUCCAUUGGCCAUCUUUAGUCAUCAGAAUUUACAACUAUUAUAAAUUGCGAUCUGUUGAAUUGACUAACAAAUUGAUAUCUCAACAACACGUGAUUAGUUUUGUUUUUGUCAUAGAUUUUUCUUUUAUUCAAAUAUUUUUUCAUUUCUUCGGUUAGGUCCUUAUAUACUUAAUUAUUGAUUCUGAAUUGUUGGAUGACUUCUUUGUUCAUCUCUUCUACAUCUAUUUUUAAAGCUUUUACCAUAUUUUAUAAAGGUUUAAAUGAUUAUAAUAUUCAUAAAGAUCUAUAAAUUCUGAGUAUACAUUAGCACUUGCAUUUUAUAACUCCUUGACUUUCUAGUCAUUGACCAAAUUUUUCUUCUAGCAUAUUUAUAUAUAUUUCUAAUCUAUUUUCCCAUUCAAGAUAUAUAUCAUCAAUGCUUUCACAUAUAUUUUGCAAUCUAAAUCUAGCGUCCUAAAUUGAAAAGUUCAUAUUAUUAUUGUUGUUAUUAUUAUUUAUUAUUCAACCUUUGUUAUUGAUGUUCUAGAGACCUUUUAUUUAUCUUGCACUUGCUAUCUUGAAUUAUUUCAAGACUGAUUAAGAUAUUCCAUUAAUGCUACCCUAUUUUUUCUUCAAAAAUUUCAAAAAUUUCAUUGUUUCAUUCAAUGUUUAUCCUUUUCAUAUUUUCGUACAAGCAUUUGCUUGCAAUUAAUCGAGUAUUAACAAUCCUUAUUGUAUCAAUAACUCGAUAUUCUUGACAAAAUCUAAAUUAUCAACUGCAUCUAGAGGUCUAUUGACUGAUCUUUCCAUUUUUCUAAAAUUGAGUUACUAUUAUCACCUCAUAUCUUAUAAAUUCUAGGAAACAAUCAAGGCCCAACAUGUUUUUGUUUGUGAAAAAAUAUAAGGUAAUUCAUAAUGUUAAUUAGUGUACUAUUCUUUUUGAAAUUUUGGAAUAGAUUCACUAGUUCUCUCCAAUUAUAGAUUGGUCCAUAGUUGGCAUCGCAAUAACUCCAUACAUGUCCUGUAGAAUUACCUCAAGGACUGUUCCAUACAACCCAACAUAACGCAUUGUAAAUUGGCCGAACAGGAUUUGUCUGAGUGACUUUCUAGCAAUCAUCUUAGGAAGAUUGCUGAGUAAUAUGGAGUCUUCUUCUUUUAAUAUGAGUGCAGACAUGUAAGAUUCUUAAUAUAUUUCUAAAAAUUAAAAACAAGAUAUAUAGAAGAUGAUAGUUUCACUCCAAAAGAGUUCUUUAUUUUAUCACUGAAAUUUUUACAAAGAAAGUUUGAAGAUGAGGGUCGUGAGAGAUGCAAAUGCUUCUCCGCUCUUACAUGACUCUAUAUAUGGACUUGAAUAAGAAAUAAGAUUAUCUCUCCUACAUAUGCAACAUCCUUGUGGUAGAUUUUAUGGAGAUAAGGUGACUAUUUCUCCUUAUUGUCUUUUUUGAUAUUAUUGAUGGCAACUGUUAUCAUCUUUUUUUCUUUGGCUGACAAAGGUUUGUCCUUUCCCUCGGUUUCUUUCUUUCUAAAUUAUUGAUUCUUAAGCAGGCAUCUUUUAUCUUUCAAUGGUCUCCUGCCACAUACCUAUUAUGAGGUCUUCAUCUAGAGACAUAUCUUCUUCGAUUGUGCCCUUUUUUGACCUUUCAUAGCAAAAGCCAUAAUCUAAUUGAUGCCUAGCACUUUACAUAUCUCGUGGUGCAUUGGCUGGCUAGAUUCUAUAAGAUUUUUGUAAAUCACCUUUUUUUUUCUUUCAAGAUGGCUUGCCUGGUUAAAAUGCUUUCUUUUCUUUUUAAAGAAAAGAUUAUAUACUCUAUUAUGACUUGACGUAGCAAUACUUUUUCCUUGCUUAUCCUCUAAAAUUAUUCAUAGAAGACUUUCAUGCCAAUUGCUCUUUUGUUGGAGAGAACUUUCGACUCAAAUAACUUAAGAUCAUAGUCAUUGUAGACUUGAUCCAAAAUAAUGGUUGGAUUAAUUCUUUUGCUAUUAAUUCCAACUUAUAUCAUGUGCAUUGCUGGAUACCAUGUAUUAUAGUACACUGGGCAAGUAGUAAGAAAUUUGACAUAAAUUGACUCUUUUGUCUUAGUUACUUUUUUUAGGCUAAUAAUAGCUUCUAUGAUUGUUUUUAGAACUAAUUCUGGCUCCCAGCAAUUUUCACUGACAUAAAUAAGAUUAAUAAAACCAUAUUAAACAUGUUUUUUUAUUAUUUCUGGAUUCGUUUCUUGAAUGAAGUUAAUUUUUAGUAUAAUCCUUAAUGAUAUAGUAAUAUAACCUAAUUAAGACGAAUCUCAUAAGCUAAUUUACUAAUUCUCUUGUAUUCAUAAGCAUAGUCACAUUCUAAUUAGAAUUUGGCCUUUGACUAAACUGUCCGCUUUUUGUAUAUUGAGACUUUAAGCUCUGUGAAGAGUUUUGGUAACUUUCCCCCUUUGUAUAUUGAUAGAUCAUGAAUUGUGAGUAAAUGCUUUGGAUUUUGGUCUUUAAGUUUUGUGAUGAAUUAUUAGUAAUCAACCCCUUAUUUUGAUUCUUGAAAUAGAUCUUUUUUAGCAUAUUGCUAAUAUAUUGUUAUGAUGUUUGAACUUCUAGACGAUUUUGUAAACUUUUGUCUUGAAAAAAUUUACUAAUUCUUCUUGGGCAUCAUCAAUCAUAGAAAGCCCAUCAGAAGUCAUCAUAUUUCCUUUGUGAAACAAUUCUUAAUCUUCAGAGCACAUCAUUAUACCUUUUAUUAUUUU